rfam:Pristionchus pacificus strain PS312 contig1880, whole genome shotgun sequence.
AAUUUGAGAUUCGCGUGGUUGCAUUAGAAUAUGAUGAAGAUGCACCAUGGUGAUUCUUGAAUUCA